rnacentral:lncRNA from 1 species
GGAAUGUCUGGUUUUGCCUUGAUUCUUUUUUUUUUUUAAGGAUAGUUUGCUGGAUAUAGAAUUUGUGCCUGACAACUUUUUCUUUGACUCUCUUUUAAUGUCAUCCCAGUGCACCCGGAUUUCCAUUACUUUUGGUGCAAAGUCAGCUGUUAAUUAUUUUUGGUCUCCUUUGUGUAAUUGUUUUCCUCACUGCUUUUGGGCUUUUUUUUUCUGGGCCUUGUCUUUUAAACAGUUUGACUAAGACGUUUUUAGGUGUGGAUCUCAUAGUGUUUAUCCUACUUGGGUUUGUUGUUAUUGGUUUUUGUUUGUUUUAGCUUCUUGGAUAUAUAAUGUUUUUUAUAAAAUUUGAGAGAUUUUUGGACAUUAUUUCUUAGUUACAUUUUUCUGCCCUUUGCUCUUCUGUGAUUCGCCUUAUGCAUUUGUUGGUACAUUUCCUGUUACCCUGGUCUCAGGCUCUGUUCAUUUUUUUCAGUCUUUUUCUCCCUCUAUUUCUCAGGUUGUGUAACGUUGAUUUUUCCUCAAGCUCACCGAUGCGUCUGCCAUCUCAAAUCUACUUGCAUUGUUUUGUUUCGUAAGUUGAAUUUUUC